UACGUAGGGACCGAGCGUUGUCCGGAUUCAUUGGGCGUAAAGAGCUCGUAGGCGGCUAUUCAAGUCGAACGUGAAAUCUCGGAGCUCAACUCCGAAACUGCGUUCGAUACUGGGUAGCUAGAGUCUGGUAGGGGGAUCUGGAAUUCCUGGUGUAGCGGUGGAAUGCGCAGAUAUCAGGAGGAACACCGGUGGCGAAGGCGGGAUCCUGGGCCAGUACUGACGCUGAGGAGCGAAAGCGUGGGGAGCGAACAGG
rnacentral:rRNA from 1 species